CCUACGGGGGGCUGCAGUGGGGAAUAUUGGACAAUGGGGGGAACCCUGAUCCAGCCAUGCCGCGUGUGUGAAGAAGGCCCUCGGGUUGUAAAGCACUUUCAGUGAGGAAGAACGCCUGGUGGUUAAUACCCAUCAGGAAAGACAUCACUCACAGAAGAAGCACCGGCUAACUCCGUGCCAGCAGCCGCGGUAAUACGGAGGGUGCGAGCGUUAAUCGGAAUUACUGCGCGUAAAGCGCGCGUAGGUGGCUUGAUAAGCCGGUUGUGAAAGCCCCGGGCUCAACCUGGGAACGGCAUCCGGAACUGUCAAGCUAGAGUGCAGGAGAGGAAGGUAGAAUUCCCGGUGUAGCGGUGAAAUGCGUAGAGAUCGGGAGGAAUACCAGUGGCGAAGGCGGCCUUCUGGACUGACACUGACACUGAGGUGCGAAAGCGUGGGUAGCAAACAGGAUUAGAUACCCUUGUAGUC
rnacentral:rRNA from 1 species